GACGAACGCUGGCGGCGUGCUUAACACAUGCAAGUCGAACGGUGAACUCCGCUUGCGGGGGGAUCAGUGGCGAACGGGUGAGUAACACGUGGGCAACCUGCCCUCAGCUCUGGGAUAACUCCAAGAAAUUGGGGCUAAUACCGGAUAUGACCGCUGACCGCAUGGUCUGGUGGUGGAAAGAUUUAUCGGCCGGGGAUGGGCCCGCGGCCUAUCAGCUUGUUGGUGGGGUAGUGGCCUACCAAGGCGACGACGGGUAGCCGGCCUGAGAGGGUGACCGGCCACACUGGGACUGAGACACGGCCCAGACUCCUACGGGAGGCAGCAGUGGGGAAUAUUGCGCAAUGGGCGAAAGCCUGACGCAGCGACGCCGCGUGGGGGAUGACGGCCUUCGGGUUGUAAACCUCCUUCAGCAGGGACGAAGCGAAAGUGACGGUACCUGCAGAAGAAGCACCGGCCAACUACGUG
rnacentral:rRNA from 1 species